AAGCUUUAGCUCACUAGGGCAAAAAAAUAACAAAAAACUCAAAGCUCCUCACUCACUCUCUCUCUCUCUCUCUCUCUUUAUCUCUCUCGACACAGACCGAAAACCAAAACCCAAAGCUCCUCAGUCUCUCGACAGCGUCUCCCCAGAACCAAAACCUACGGCCAAAGCCUCACUCUUUACCUCAGCUUUCCAGGGUUUCAAUUUUCAAAUCCCCACCAUACUACGUCUGGAUCCCCAAAUUUCAAAUCUUUCCCUCAGCUUUCUAGGGUUUCAAUUUUCAAAUCUCCACCACACUCCGUCUGGAUCCCCAAAUUUCAAAUCCUCGAUUUUUCAAUUUUCAAAUCCCCGAGAUCUCGCUCAAGGUUUCGGUCUGGGCUCGGAGAAAAGAAGUGCAGUAACAUAAACACGGAGGACAUCCAAGACUUCUUUGAGCAGUCAACCAAAGAUGCUUUCUCCGGCGGCAAUCUCUCUCCGAUCCAUUACCACCUUCAGCGAUUCGAUUAGGAUUUUAGGUUUCGCUUUUUUCUCACUAAUCGAUCCAAUUUCCGACGCGUCUGCCGCCUUACGAUUGCGAGAAGUGAGUUCGCGAACUCGAAAUCGAAAACAAAGCCUAUAUGGUCACUAUUUCGAUCUUUCGAGUUUCGAAAACCAAAUACAAAAUAAGCUAAAAUGGCAUUUCUGAGGUCUGUGGCUAGUGCCAUAGCUGCCUCUCUAUUAUCGGCUGCCCAUGCCUUUUCUUCCUCUUCUUCCUCUCAAUCUUUCCGAUUCCCUAAACUCCAAAGCUUUCCUUUCUCUCCUCCUCCUCUCCAAACCCAAAUCUUCUAUUCCUCGCUACAAGCCUUACCCACUCUCCCUCAGCUCUCCACAUGAACGCUCCCACAUCGAAAUGGAAGCCCUCCUUUCAGAAUGAUGCUGUAUUGCCAGAGCUACUGACAGAGUACAUGGUAGAUAUGAAAUGUGAAGGUUGUGUUAAGGCUUUCAAGAAAAUGCUACAAGGUGUUGAUGGUGUAUGAUUGCUUGUUGGGAGCUGAUGCUUUAUGUGAUUCUGGUGAUUUGCGUGAUUGCAAAGAAUAUGCUCUCGUUUGAUGAUUGUAUUAGCUGUGCUUUUAUCUCCACUUCCUAUGUUCAUCUGCACCUUUUAAGAUGCAGGUCAGUACUAUCUCACCCCUCGCCAGACUCAAAGCCAUCUACAGUGAAGCCCCACUUCCCCAAUCGCAGUGAAAGAGGAUUCCAAAUCUGCCGAAGCUAAAUUUAUGGUCUGAGGGUUGCUUGCAUUUUUGUUUUGCCCACCAGGAGUUUGUGAAAAUGCCUCAAAUCUUCUUCUCUGUGUUUCUGCUCUGUUCAUGCCGUAUUGAAGGAGCUGGCUCAGAAGUCUUUCAAUGCGACCUCGGAAUUAAAGCAGUAUCCCACUUUAAGAGUGGAAGUUGGGAAUGCAAGAUUUGAAUCGCUGGAUAGGAUGAAAGAAGAGAGCAAGGAAGCAACUAUGCAGCUAGUUGAUAUGGAGUGUGGUUACCACCGUUGAAUUUUUCCGCAAGCUUCCUCAGGGUAUUGAAAAGGGGGGAAAUCCGACACACUCACUUUUCAACAGAUCGAUAUAACGAUUCCUACCUUCGGUGGGUUGGUAAGUAGCUAUAACUUGAAGUACAUGUUAAACCACCUCAAUCAUCUCCUUAAUCUCAUCACUCUAACAACUCUUUUAUACUUGUUUUAAAUUCUACUGAUAUUAGAACCUCCACUUAAAGAGAUACAAUUUCAAAAUGAAAUAUACUAGUUGCUGCCUCAAUCUAGUUCACUUCACAGCAAAUUUGAGUACAAAUGAUAUGUAUAAUAGUAUUGUUAAGGAGUUUUAUGUCAGCGGCUUCGUUCAUUUUCUGUCUUUGUCUCUUGAAACAAACAGGAAGCAAUGUGUUAAACUAUGUGAACAUGGUGUGCUCAAGUUUAAGGAUUUCUAUUCCAAAGUCUAUUGUCGACCGUCACUACACCAAUAACUUAAACACACAACACUUUUUGCACAACGAAAAAAAAAAAAGUGUUGUGUGAUGAAGAAAAGUGAAUCACACAACACGUUUACAAAACUUGCGUUGUAUAAGGUGGUUAAAAUUCUAAACUUUUUACCUAGUAGAUCAUUGCACAACAGUUAUAAGAAUAGUUCGUUGUGUGAAUGAAAAAAAAAUUAGCGGCAGAUUUCCCUCCUAGAUCAACCCCAAAUUUGGCUCCAAAUUGGUACUUCAUUGUACAACAGAAUAGUUAUAUCUGUUGUAUGAGUGAAGUUUGCAAAUUGUCACACAACAGUUUUUGUUUUUGUGUUGUAUGAUCAAGGAAAAUAUAUUAGAGGUUUCGAUGCAUCUCCAUAUGCCACUCAUUCCUUCACUCCCAAACUGAACUUUACUUACAAGUAGCGGGAACUUUCCUUUCUUGCUGCCACAACUCAAAUUUAAUGUGUGCAAAAUCAGACAACAUGUAUAUGGAAAACGUGGUCUGAUGCCUUAUACAUGCAUAUAUGCAUCAACUAAUGGCUUGUCUAGCCUGACUCUCUCUUUUCACAACUCCACAGCUAUCUGACCCCCGACUCUCUCCCCGACUCACUCCACAGCUACGCCCACUUUGAAGCCCUAAACUCUAAAUCCACCACCUCCGAAGCCUUGGCUUUCUGGUACCAAUCCCUGACUCUGAAGCCCUAAAUCUGAGAUAUGUACGCAAGACAGAAACAAGUCCUUCCAGCCAUUUCCCCCCCCUCCCCAGCCAUUUCCCCCCAACCAGUUUAAGAGGGGAGGCAAACUCAAAAUUUAAAAUUUGACAUUCAGACAACAAAAAUUAGAAAACCAUUGUGUGAGGGCUUCUCCAAAGACUUAAUAUUGUCCAAGUGAGAGCCCCAUAGCUUUAAACCACCGAAAAAAAAAAUACACUUUGACAAUUUCAGAGGCCGAAGAGCCUGCAGCCUGCCACUCUCUUCCCACGGUUCUCUUCAACAAACCCGACCCCGACAAACCAAAACAAAAACCAACUCUACCUCAGAUCCCUUCCCAUCCUCUCUCUCUCAAUCGCAUUCACUUUCCUUCAACAAUAAUGAGACUAGGGUUUCAUUGUUAGGCCUCCGAUGUCCCUUCCAGAUCCCCAUUCACUCUGCUGAAUUCGAAAUCUCCAAUUUUCUAGGGUUUAAAUUUUCAAUCUCCAGUACCAUUCACUCUCGAGCAUGGCUUCCACGAUUGGCUCUCCAAGCAGUUCGUCCUCGUUGAGGCCGCCAUCGUCAUCGUCACCAAUGGAUGCUGCUAUUGGCGGCAUCAUGGGUACUUUCAUACUUAAUCCCAAUUUACCCAAAUCGAAGAUAGGGUUCAAUCCUGGGCGGGUCGGCGACUAGGCGUUUCAGUCCCUUUUUUUUUUUUUUUUUUUUUAACUCUUCAUACUUAAUCCCAAUUUACCCAAAUCGAAGAUAGGGUUCUGGGUGUGAUGAAGGCCAUUUCUCCUCUCUCUCUCUAUGCGACAUGGCCGCACGGGCCAUCUAUUAUCAGCCUUUCUCCGACUCCGAGUCGCCGGUGACGCCGUGACAACGGUGACAUUGCUGAUUUGCUGCCUUGCUGUCAAAGGCGCCGGCUCUUCACUCUUGGUUUGCUCGCUUUCACUCCUCUUCAAGCUGUCAAGCAACAAAACAGAAGACUUUGGUUCAAUUUCUGGGUUCUUCCUUCAAGCUCAUCUGGAGUGGAAAUUGGGAUGCUACUGAGGAAGAGAAGCUGGAUUUCGAAGUAGUCCGGAAGAGGGGAGGUCUUAGGCAUUUGCAUUAUCAGUGAGAUGAGUAUAAACGAUGAGUCCCAAUUUAUAUCUACGGAGGAAAGAGAAGAUGCAACAGGAAAUGUACAAAGAGAUGAUUUGGCUUCUAGAAGAAAUCGGACGAAAGAAAAGAAAUUAUAUACAUAGGUCUAAACUGGUUCCAGUUGCUUUCAAAAAAGUUAUAAAAAAAAAAAAAAUGCUUAUGAGCUUACGGGUCUGCGGGUUUCAAUGGGUUUGAAAGGGGGAAAAAAAAUUAUAUUCAUGGGUCUUAAUGGGUUUCAAUGGGUAUGUGGAUGCAGCUCAGCAACUAUAGCACGAAAUUCAAAGAGAACUUGUCUUUGCAUCAUUCCUUAAAGCUUUGUGCAGAAUUCCUUAAAGCUUUUCUAUAACCAGUUACAAGCAUGAAGCAUGUAAGUAUUACCAGUUCAUUUUACUUGAGUGUUAAGUAUUAUCGUCACCUUAAGCUAUUUCUGCUAGCUUUUUAGGCCUUUGCUUGUUAGUUAAUCUCAUCUGUUCUGUUAACAGAUGUCUUUGGACUGGGCAAUAUAUGUUUGUCUUUGGACUGGGCAAUAUAAGGACUAAUCUGCUGUCACUUUUGUACAAUGAAAAUUAGAAUUUCAUUGCAGUUCUUAAUUCUUUUCAGAUAAUUCAAGUAAUUCAUUCUGUGAGCUGUUUACUUGCAGGAACUUAAAAUGGGAAAGUCUGCAUAUUUGGAGAUGAGUUUUUGUAGUUUCACUUUUAAGAAACUUUUAGUUGUGCCUUUGGGAAAAAAAUUGAAAUCGGCAGACUUCUAUUAUCUCUCUGCCACUUUUUUUGGCCUGAUAUCACCUGGCCAUUAUGAGAAUGUAUUUAUGGUAGGAAUUGUCUGUUUGAAUUUAACUAAUUACCCAGCUUUCUCGCUGCUGCUUAUAUGACUAGUGCUUCUGUUAGAGGUAGAAAGCAUGACAUAGAGACUGAUGUUUUACAAUUUGUUUUUGCUUUUCUGUUACAUUGGAGACUAUGAUGCUUUACAAUUUUUAUCUUUUCUAUCUACAUAAUUUUUUUGUUUUUCUUUUUUUCAUAUGUGGUGGCAAGGUAUGGAACACUUACCCAGAUGAGCAAAACCGCCUCAAAGCUCAAGUCUUUAACAUCUCAAGUCCUCCAUUUUCAAAAAGCAAGCUUCUUUACUGCAACAUUUGCAGAUUGUGAAGAAGAACCACAAUACCCAAACAGACCCAAGUAGAUGGUACAUUUCCAUGCACCAUAUAUGUGCCAUGUUUUGGAACAAUAUAAAUGUGUAUCAACUUUUGAUGUCCCAAGCACAAGAAUGCUUUUCUUGUUUAAAUGUUGGCUUGGAUGAUUGGGAAAUGCACCAUUUUUGCUUUUGAAGUUUAGUAUUGGUUAGAUUACUCA